AUGACCCAAAAUAAAGCCCAAAUUCGUCCAUUUAGCAUGGCCCUAAAGUUUCAGCCCAUCCAUCCCAAAUAACCCUAAACAUUUGCAAACCUAAUCUCUACUCAAAAAAAUCAGCCGCACCCUUCCUUUCUUAUCUUUUUCCUCUUCUACACAAAGAUACAUCUCUCUCCAACCAUGGUCAAAACAACGCACACCUUGUUUUGGAAUUUUUUUUUUUUUUUCAAACCAGAAAGUAUAGGGACAUACAUUGCUUUCACUCUUGAUUUUCAAAUCUUGCCUUUUUUUUCGACCAUCUGACCUGCAAAUCUGUCCAAAAUCUGAACGUUUGGAUUUCAAAUGGAGUUUUGACCAAGAAAUCCCGCCCAAAAUCUUGGAACCCUAGCAAACCCUAAGCUCGUCCUAUAAAUACUAUCGUUUGGUUUCAUUUAGGGCGAAGGCUUGGCUGCUAUUGUCCCUCUCUAAACAUCCAAAAAAAAAAUACUCUCCGUGUCAUACUAUUUUUUUUUCCAAACCGAGAUUCAUUGCACGUUUUCCCUCUACAUAGAUCUUUGUCGACUCCUAGCUGCGGCAAAUAUUUCUUUCAUUUUUUUAAUUGUGUUGCUUUGUUCCUGAGCGAGUUCGGACUACGUCGUAUCUAAGACCCCGCACCCGAGUUCACUGCACCCACAAAAGGAUCAGAAGUUAAGAGAGACAUAUCAAGAUGACACCUAAAUUAUGAAGGAUGGUGAUGUCAAGCUGUUUAUGGAGCGGCAGCCAGUGAUAAAUUCGAAGUGGUCAAGGUGGAGUGUAAAAGUAAUUAAUUCAGUUUUUUAUGGAUGGAAUGUUUCCUCCUCUUUGCUUUUAGGAGUGAUAUCCUCAACACAAAAUAUUACAUUAUUUACUAUUUAUUAAUAUUCAUUAGUGAUUGUCAUUAAUGAUUUCAUUGAAUUUGGAUAGUUGGCUGGAUUAUACAAUAUCAGUUGAUUACAA